UCUGCAGUGACGGUAGCAAGUUCAAUAACGUGUAGUGCAUACGUUUUCUCUCAGCUACAAAGCACCUUCCUUAAGAAAUGCUUAUAAAAUAUUCAAUGUAAACUACUGAAGAAACUCAUAUUUAGUAGUACUCCCCAAGCUCUACUGUAUGUGCACUGCUUCAUCCUUAUUGUCAGUGUACCUCCAUUGCCCAGGAACACCAUGGCAGAAGAAGAUAGAAAAAGGAUCUACAACUGAGUGAUGUCUGAUACCAGAUACCUCAUGAUGUGAUACCUGCCUGCUGCUGGACUUUCCUGGGCCUGCUACCUGAGACCUACCUGUUUCUCCUGGACUCGCUCUUGCUGCACCUGCUUGUUGCCUAAGGCUGGCCGCUCUGCUGCUGCUCUCCUCUGCGCCCUUGCUCCUGUAUUGGCCUUGGACCAUCGGAAUGGUGUGCAAUGGGAUGCUGCUGGAUCUUGGUGGUGACUAUCCCCAUUUUACAUAAUUCUUGCUCCUUUCCUAUCUUUCCUAUCACC
ensembl:lncRNA